rnacentral:rRNA from 2 species
AGAGAAUACCAAGGCGCUUGAGAGAACUCGGGUGAAGGAACUAGGCAAAAUGGUGCCGUAACUUCGGGAGAAGGCACGCUGAUAUGUAGGUGAAGUCCCUGCGGACGGAGCUGAAAUCAGUCGAAGAUACCAGCUGGCUGCAACUGUUUAUUAAAAACACAGCACUGUGCAAACACGAAAGUGGACGUAUACGGUGUGAC